CGGCAGCACAGAAAGGACAAACGAGGAACAGACAUGUUUGCGUUUCUGAGAAGGUGAUGGUGGUUGUUGUUGUUGUUGUUGUUGUUGUUGUUGUUGUUGUUGUGGUUGUUGUUGUUGUUGUUGUUGUUGUUGUGGUUGUUGUUGUUGUUGUUGUUGUUGUUGUGGUUGUUGUUGUUGUGGUUGUUGUUGUUGUUGUUGUUGUGGUUGUUGUUGUUGUUGUGGUUGUUGUUGUUGUUGUGGUUGUUGUUGUUGUUGUUGUUGUUGUUGUUGUUGUUGUUGUUGUUGUUGUUGUUGUUGUUGUUCUGAAGGAUGAUUCUGAUAUUAAAGACCUGAACUAUGUGGGCUCAUACUCCUCCUGGAGGGGCUAAGAACUCUUUUUGACUCUUUGGAGCUCUCGAGGAACCCUGUUAGAACCUGGUUUGUAGUCUUUGAGAGCUUUGUUAGACCUUCUUUAGGGCUCUGUCAGAACUCUAGAACUCUUCAAGAACCCCAAGUGAGUCCAGUUGUUAGAACUAUUAUAAAAGUCUGUCUGAGCUCUGUUUUAAAGCUCGGUUAGGUCUGUGUCUGAGGGUUUAGUGAUAACUGUUGAACUCUGAGAACCUCAUCAGAAGUCUGCUGGAACACUUGGAGACCUUGGGAGGUGUGGUCUACAUGGGUUUGGGGAACUCUUUCAGAAAUCUUCUGAUCUGUUUUAGAGCUCUGAGGUUUUGUGGUCCUUCCACUGAGAUCUCUCGCUCACACAGUCUGAGACGGUUUUAACAGGACAGGUGAGUCUUCCUACCUGGACCUAGAUCUUCAGACCUGACUGUGUAGAUGCUGCACACACAUGAAGAGACAAACAGACACCAGAUGGAUCUGUAGUGGGAACACACGGAUACUGGUCUGUGGUUCAACAGUCGAAUGAUUGAAAUGAGGAGUCCAGCCCACACACACACACACACACACACACACACACACACACACACACACACACACACACACACACACACACACACACACACUGUGGAUUGUGUGGUGGUACACUGACGCUCUCGUCCCCUCACUCUCACUCUCACAAAGGCCCCUCUCUCUCUCUCUCUCUCUCUCUCCCUCUCUCUCUCUCUCUCUGUCUCUCGCUCUCUUUCUCUCCCCCCCUCUCUCCCUCUCUCUCAUGUGGACCUACAUACCACCGCCCUGAUGUCAGUUUGUUCUCCCUCAGCUGAAGGACACUCCUCGUUUGUUCUCAGAGUCUCUGUAGACACUGUUGUGGUCUGAUCUUCGAGGUUCGACCAUGAGAAAGUAUUUCCUCAUAUUAGUCAAUGAUUCGUCCUCAUCACCGGCUUCAGUGAUCAGGAGUGUCAACAGAUAAUCAAUGAUUAUUUAGUAAUAGAUUUGUGGAGCCCAAACUUCUGAUGACCUUCUCUGUGGUGACCUCCUGACACCAUCUCCUCUAAAACCGUCUCAGUGUUCGGUUCUUCGUCUUUACACAGCUUUGACUUUCUCCUCAGAGUUGAACUUCUGUGUUUUAUUUUAUACUUUAAUUCUUCAAACUCAGUCUUUAUCGAGUGUAUACUGACGCUCUGCUGUAAACCGCGCUCAUGUUCGUCAGCGUCUCCACGCUCAAACGUCCUUCUGAAGACUUUGAGAUGUUUUCACAGACUGACUGUCCCGAGGUUUCUAUCUCUCAGACUGAAGGUCUCCUAACAAACUGAUGUUUACGGGACAGUGAGCUCGCUCGGAUUAGAUUAUGAGGAAAACAAACAAACAGGAGGUCAAAGUUCAGCUGUAAAUGAACGUGUUGAAUCACUCUGAGGUGAACGUCUGCACAGGUGAACGUAUGCACAGGUGUGUUUGUAACUGCAGGUAUUUGAGUCUUCAUGGUCAUGACCCAUCAGCUGAUACGUGAGGUCAUCCUCAGUUAACAGAUGAGGUCAUAACAGUGACGGCGGCGUUGGUAUCAGCUGCAGCACUCACAGUCCUGACUGAUGAAGAUGAAGAAGAAGAAGGUCAAACACGGACCGCAGAUAAGUGAUGGUGUGUUUUUGAGCUUCACUGUGUUCAUGUCUCCAACACGAUAAGACAACGAGGACAUCAGAGUCUCAAAGACGGUCUCAUCACAUCUGAAUCUGAGACAAACAGAAAAAAACGUCUGAUGGAUGUUUGAGUUUCCUGUUUGACACUGAAGAAGACAAACGCCGAGCUGAUCGUUGUCGGGUAAAAGAGCUCUUUGUUUUGUUUGUUUCUUUAUUUUUUAAUUUUCUUUAUUUUCUUUAUUUUUUUUAUUUUCUUUAUUUAAUUUUUCUUUAUUUUUGAAUUUUCUUUGUUUUUUAUUUUUUAAUUUUCUUUAUUUUCUUAAUUUUUUUAUUUUUUAAUUUUCUUUAUUUUUUUUAUUUUCUUUGUUUAUUUUCUCUUUUUUCUUUAUUUUCUUUAUUUAAUUUUUUCUUUAUUUUUGAAUUUUCUUUUUAUUUUCUUUAUCUUUAUUUUUUUAUUUUUUAUUUUCUUUAUUUAUUUUUUCUUUAUUUUUGAAUUUUCUUCAAGUUUUAAUUUUCUUUAUUUUCUUAAUUUUUUUAUUUUCUUUAUUUUCUUUAUUUCCUUUAUUUUCUUUAUUUCCUUUAUUUUCUUUAUUUUUUUAUUUUCUUUAUUUUUUAUUUUCUUUAUUUUUUUUUUUUCUUUAUUUUUUUUUUCUUUAUUUUUGAAUUUUCUUUAAGUUUUAAUUUUCUUUGUUUCCUUUGUUUUCUUUUUUUCUUUAUUUUCUUUGUUUCUUUAUUUUCUUAAUUUUCUUAUUUUCUUUAUUUUCUUUCUCAGUGUUUCUGAGUUUGUGAAGCUUCAGUCUCCAGGACACAGAGAGGCCAACAGAGGCGGAGUCAGCACACACAGCGCCCCCUAAACCACAGAAACAGAACUGCAGCUGACAGGCUGUGAGUCUCCAAAUCCUGGUCCAAGUCCUCCUGUAAGAGGAUCAGAACUUCUAUAUUUACAUUCACCACAGCGAGGAACUAAGCAGAUUAGUGAGCAGAGAUACGGGGAAGGAACACCAGGACCAGAACAGGGACUCCCAAACACCUGAGAGACCCUCAGACCCUGUUAUCAGGACUCAGACCACAGCAGACCGAGACAGGGUCAGGUCUCCUUCAGGACCCAGAAUCUCAGAUCUAAUCUCAGCGUUUUAAAGAAGAACUGGAAUAAAAUGAAGGAAAAACCUUCAGGAGAGACACCAACAGUUUCAAUCAUUUCCUGAUUAAUUUUGAUCGUUACGUCUGAAUCAUUAAAGUUUUUUAUUAUCAUUUAAAGAAGGUUGAAAUGUUUGAAAGUCUAAAAAGAAAAAAGGAAAUUAACACGUUUAACACCAGGAAGUAGGUCUAAGAGGGUCAAAAUAUAAGUGUAAUAUUAUAUAUAUUUAUAUAUACUGUAUAAAUAACAGAGCACUUCAUAUAAAUCAACAGUUUGUCUGUUUGUGUCCCUGUCCCCCCCCCAUGUCUCUACUUUUUAGACAUCAGUGAUAGACAACAAAGACAAUAUGUGUAUGUGUGUGUGUGUGUGCAUGUGUGUGUGUGUGUGUGUGUGUGUGUGAUAGGAAACCUUUGAGGUCCUGGAUGAAUUGUUGGUCUUCCUGGAGCCAGAGCUGCAGGAUGGGAGGGGAACAGGAAGUGAAUCACCACAGGAUCGUUCUGAACCAGGAAACAGGCGGCGUGUUGCUGCGGCGCUGAUCCCCGAGGGUCUAAAGAUGGAGAGGAAGAGUUUCAGAGAAGGUGUGACAGGAGCGUCUGUGAGGGACGAAGACGUGAGGACUGAGAGACAUUCAUCAAACCAGGAGACCAACAACAGACCAGGAGGUGAAGAUGGAGACAGUCACUGCAGGGAAAGGUCAGUCAGUGACCACGGCGCCGACCCGCCUCAACCGUCCAGAUUUACAGAACCAGGAACAUGAACCGUCCUGCAGUCCCAGUUCAGCUGCAGGAACGACACGGGAACAGAAUCAGAGAGCGAACUCGAGAUGAUGAGAGACACCGAGGAUUCACGUCCUUCACUGCUGCUGCCGUUACCAUGGAAACACACAAACAACAACACCGAGAAAAGACGUUUUAAUCCAGAUUUUCAUCUGAAAACACAGAAACACAAGUGUUUAAUAAACGUUUGAGUUCUGACCUGCUGAUCAGUGUCACUCACCUGUCACGGUCUCCUCUGAUUGGUUCAUGAGGUGCUGAAAAGUUUCUAAUUUUAAAGAUCAAUCAUGUUUUCACCGUUCAUCCUCGUCUCUGUUUGGUUUUAUUACAAGUCGAUCCUCUGACUUCUAAACUGUAUGACCGUGACAUGAACACAGAAGCUCUCACACCAG